rnacentral:rRNA from 1 species
CACGUAGGCACCAAGCGUUGUCCGGAUUUAUUGGGCGUAAAGAGCUCGUAGGCGGUUCAGUAAGUCGGGUGUGAAAACUCUGGGCUUAACCCAGAGCCGCCACCCGAUACUGCUGUGACUAGAGUCCGGUAGGGGAGUGGGGAAUUCCUAGUGUAGCGGUGAAAUGCGCAGAUAUUAGGAGGAACACCGGUGGCGAAGGCGCCACUCUGGGCCGGUAUUGACGCUGAGGCGCGAAAGCCAGGGGAGCAAACGGG